AUGCACAUUUCAUUGUCCCAUUCUUAACACUACAUAAGAAUUGAGAUAUUUCUGAUGUGCUAGAUAAACAUUGGAGGUAAAUUAGCAGCGUGGCUGUGUUUGUGCCAAUGCUGCCAGUCCCCUUCGUACAUUU